UGCGUAGGGUGCAAGCGUUAAUCGGAAUUACUGGGCGUAAAGCGUGCGCAGGCGGUGAUGUAAGACAGGUGUGAAAUCCCCGGGCUACCACUGGGAACUGCAUCCGAAACUGCCUUGCUCGAGUAUGGGAGAGGGAAGUGGAAUUUCCGGUGUAGCGGUGAAAUUCGUAGAUAUUCGCAAGAACACCAGUGGCGAAGGCGGCUUACUGGACCGGUUCUGACGCUGAGGCGCGAAAGCGUGGGGAGCAAACAGG
rnacentral:rRNA from 1 species